rnacentral:rRNA from 1 species
UACAGAGGGGGCGAGCGUUGUUCGGAAUUACUGGGCGUAAAGGGCGCGUAGGCGGCCAACUAAGUCGGACGUGAAAUCCCCUGGCUCAACCAGGGAACUGCGUCCGAUACUGAUUGGCUUGAAUCCGGGAGAGGGAUGUGGAAUUCCAGGUGUAGCGGUGAAAUGCGUAGAUAUCGGGAAGAACACCCGUGGCGAAGGCGGCUCUCUGGGACGGUACUGACGCUGAGACGCGAAAGCGUGGGGAGCGAACAGG